rnacentral:rRNA from 1 species
AUACGGAGGAUGCGAGCGUUAUCCGGAUUUAUUGGGUUUAAAGGGCGCGUAGGCGGCCUUUCAAGUCUGAAGUGAAAUUCCCGUUUUUAAGAUGGGAACUGCUUUGGAAACUGUAAGGCUUGAGUGCAGGAGAGGUCAGUGGAAUUCCCAGUGUAGCGGUGAAAUGCGUAGAGAUUGGGAGGAACACCAGUGGCGAAGGCGACUGACUGGACUGUAACUGACGCUGAGGCACGAAAGCGUGGGGAUAGAACAGGAUUAGAUACCCUGGUAUUCCACGCCGUAAACGAUGAUGACUAACCGUCGGCGAUAGACAGCCGGUGGCCAAGCGAAAGCGAUAAGUCAUCCACCUGGGGAGUACGUCGGCAACGAUGAAACUCAAAUGAAUUGGCGGGG